GCCCUAUUAGCUCAAUUGGAUAGAGCGCUAGCCUUCUAAGUUAGAGGUUGAGGGUUCGAGUCCCUUAUAGGGUA
rfam:Spironucleus salmonicida unplaced genomic scaffold scf7180000020670, whole genome shotgun sequence.